AACGCUGGCGGCGUGCUAACACAUGCAAGUCGCACGAGAAAGGGUAGCAAUACCUGAGUACAGUGGCGCACGGGUGAGUAACACGUGAAUCAUCUACCUUCGAGUGGGGAAUAACUGGGAGAAAUCUCAGCUAAUACCGCAUAACACCUACGGGUCAAAGCAGCAAUGCGCUUGAAGAGGAGUUCGCGGCAGAUUAGUUAGUUGGCGGGGUAAUGGCCCACCAAGACGAUGAUCUGUAUCCGGCCUGAGAGGGCGCACGGACACACUGGAACUGAAACACGGUCCAGACUCCUACGGGAGGCAGCAGUGGGGAAUUUUGCGCAAUGGGGGAAACCCUGACGCAGCAACGCCGCCUGGAGGAUGAAAUCCCUUGGGAUGUAAACUCCUUUCGAUCGGGACGA
rnacentral:rRNA from 1 species